CACGUGUGCGGUGAGUUGUUCUGCCCUAAUUGCUCAAUGAAUUUGAACAUUUUGAGUUUCCAAAGAUCAUAUACGUCGGUUCGCGCCCGUUCACCUUUUGCUACAUGAUAUGAGAUGAAGUACAAGAAGUAUCUCUUGGAGAACAAAGACAUUCCACGAACAACACAGCAUCGCUGGAGAAGACGAACCCACCAUGUUGGAGUCCGUGUACCUCAAAAUGCUGUCUUUGAUGUGUUACAGCAAGACCCAGCUUUGUUUGACAUGCAUAUCAAGCACAUGAGCGAUACUUUGCAGCAAGAAGUUGCAAAGGAUUCAACUACACCUCAUGGUUCAAGCAUCCUACACAAUAAAGUGGAAGUCAAUGUGCAGGUAAGGAUACGGUGCCAUACAAACAUUACAUUUUCUGUUAUGCUUUCAGGUUUUAACUGAUUGGGUUACAUCUGAUGGUGUACAUGGUACCAGCAAAGUAUAUGCUUUAAUACUUGUAAGUGAUUCCGUUGCCCGUCCACUCCUACAGAACUUUAAGCAGUUCAAUGGGGAGUUUGGAUGUUCUUUUUGUCUUCAGAAGGGAACAGUUGUCGAACUUGGUCGGGGAAAGGCCAUUUGAGGAAAAUAUAGAAC
ensembl:lncRNA